AUUUUCUCAGCUAACGUGUCUUCUUCUUACCUAUUAAUUUUCUCUGCUAACAUGUCUUCUUCUGAUAAAAUGAAUAUGCAUGUCUUCCUCCUCCUAUGUCUUCCUCCUAAUGCUUAAUUUAUAAUGAUUCACUGCACAUGGAAUUUCACUCUCUUCAGCGUUCUCCAGGGAUGGACUUCGCUGCAUAGUUAUAAGAAAUUGACAGAGACCCUUUUAAGCCCAAAGGCCUUUCCUGAUUUUUCAAUAAAGUGUGAAGAUAGAAAUUUGCAAUUACUACUACUGCAGUCUCAGCGCUACAGUUACCAGCCAUGACAGAAAGAUUGAAUAUCAACGAAAUCGACGAGAACAUAGAAGAAUGGAUUUGUAAAGUUCAAGUGGUAGAUAAAGGUCAUCCCCGAACCACUAGGGAGGGAAACAAGAAAUAUCAAUUGAUGAUAUUACAGGAUGAAGAGGAAACUCAAAUACAAGUUAUCAUGCACGGUACAGAUAUCGCACAUUAUGCAAAUGAGUUUGUUCCUUUUCAAACAUAUUUGCUAUCGGGGGCAUUUGUCUCCGAGUCGAUCAAGGCGUGUGGAAUUUCUCUUCAUCAAUUCAGCUGGACAAUUGAUAAGGGCAUAGUUUUUGAACCAAUAGAUAAAGUCAUACCCCCUGAACCACCAUUGCUGCCACCAACGCUGCUAAAAAUUACAUCGUUUGACAGUUUCGAUUAUCAAGUUAUAGGCUUUGAAUUCGACAUUCUUGCCCUCGUGAUAAAUGGUAGUCCUCCAUCAUAUGCCUCAAACCUUGCCCUCGUGAUAAAUGGUAGUCCUCCAUCAUAUGCCUCAAACGGGAAUAGAAUUCAAGAAUUCAUCAUCAACAACUAUGAGGGCAAGUAUUCCACGUGCAAGCUCAAUUGUUAAUAUCCAAUGAAACUCAAAAAUUUUUUGUCUUAGUCUGCUUUGACUGCAAGCAAGUAUUUCCAAGGAUUUGGACACAGAGAACAUUCUAUUGUAUAACUUGCCGUCGACAAACAAAACUCACACCAAGAUGCCAGUUUGAAGUAACCAUCAAAGAUGAUACUGGUUCAACAACAGCCAUGAUUUCAGAUAAAAUUGGAGAAGAACUAUUGUCUCUAACUGUAGCAGAAAUUCAUGACAUAUGUUGCAUCAAGAAACAACUGUUGUCACUCGUAUCCAUGCAACACAUACUGCUAGGUAAGACAUUCACCGUCCAAAUAAAAAAGUUGUUUGCCAAAAACAAGGAUGCAUCUUCAGCAAAACUGUUUAGCAUGUCAAUCACCGAGAAAGAUAUUGCUAGCAAUCUGCCACUGCCCAUUAACACACCAACAACUCCAGAAAGCAGUAAACGCAAGAUGAAGCAAAUCAUGAUAAAAGAAGACUAAAAGCAACAAGAAAGAGGUGAGAACGAUGAUGACGCAAUUAAUGAGAGUGAAGUAACUAAAAUUGUUGCUAGCAAAUUUGGUGGACCUCACAUAGCAAAAUAACAUGCUUUGGAUACCAGCAAUUAUCCAACACCAAGAGCACGAUGAUCAAAUUUGAGAUACUUGAUUGUACCUUACACUUUUUAAAAUUACAAGUUUUUUUUUGAAACUUUUUUGACGAUAUUUUUGUGUUUGAUGCAAUUUUGAGUAUUUGAUGAUGAUAUCCAUUGUUUUAUUCAAUUGGAUUCACCACUGUAAAGAUAAAUUAUACAUUGAGUA